rnacentral:rRNA from 1 species
GACGGGGCCCGCACAAGCGGAGGAACAUGUGGUUAAUUCGAUGAUACGCGAGGAACCUUACCUGGGCUUAAAUGUGCUUUGCCGGUCUUGGAAACAGGACUUUCCGCAAGGACGAAGUACAAGGUGCUGCAUGGUUGUCGUCAGCUCGUGCCGUGAGGUGUCGGGUUAAGUCCCAUAACGAGCGCAACCCCUACUGUCAGUUGCUAACAGGUCAUGCUGAGGACUCUGGCGGGACUGCCACCGUAAGGUGCGAGGAAGGCGGGGAUGACGUCAAAUCAGCACGGCCCUUAUGUCCAGGGCUACACACGUGUUACAAUGGGCGGUACAAAGGGCUGCGAACCCGCGAGGGGGAGCGAAUCCCAAAAAGCCGCUCUCAGUUCGGAUUGCAGGCUGCAACUCGCCUGCAUGAAGCCGGAAUCGCUAGUAAUCGCGGAUCAGCAUGCCGCGGUGAAUACGUUCCCGGGCCUU